CCCAGACCAUCGCUCGGAAUCUGCUCCUGUUCCUGCUUCUCCAGCCAAGUCUAGGGUUCGUACUGAGCAGGCCCAAGAGGCAGGCCCCAGGUGCCCGCGAUGUUGGAGACUCCAGCCUGAAUGUGCGAUUUGCCGACGAUGACGAUUAUCAGGAAUUGGCCGGUUACUCAGAGGCAGUGGGCGAGCAGCGAGGGGCAAGGGCAUCCCUGUUUCCCAACUUCGGAAAUCCCCUGGACCGGAUCUUCUCUGAGAAGCGGCUGAUCCAAACUGUCCACCAGGGUCCUCGGAGGAGAAUAUCGACCCCGCUGGAUCAGAUUGGAGGCCCAUCCUUACCCCAUAGGAGGGUCUGGUUGGAUUAUCCGGAGGCCGAGUGGAAUUUGGAUGACGACGUACCGACCGGACACCGGACUGAUCAGGAAUAAAAUGUCAAUCAACAGUCAGCGGGGAUGGAUCCCGAGUUUAUAAGAAAUCUCCUCAGCGUCACAAAUGCCGGGCACUUUUUAAACAAUUAUCCUUGCUUUUCCGCUCGUAUUUAAUUCCCAAUGAUUUGACUCCGAAGAGCGUGGUGUGAGGGUUUUCCAUGGAAGAAUUUGAGAUUCCCUCAGUAGCAGAGCUGAUGUCAGAUUGUCUGUUAUCUUGCUGUAAGUGUCACUGAAAAGUAUUUGUUCUUCUCCUGCAAAUAGAAAAGCUCACCACGAAACUGCAGAUGUACACGCAGCGUGCAAUGAGAAAAGAAUAACUUGCAUUUCUGUAGCUCUUCAGCCCUUCACACUCACGGCUGGAUUCUUGGAAAUAUCACAUCCAAUUUCCAAACAGCAAGCUCCCAAAACCAGUUAUGUGAUAAAUAAGGAGGGGAUGGGUUUCCAGUGAUGUUGGUUGAGGGAUUAUUGUUGGCACAGUAUAUUGAGGAAGAUUACCCCUUCCUCACCCACCCCCGCUCCCCGAUCUAGGACAUCUGUAAAUAACUAGUCACCAAACUGUGCGACACUCUCUCAGCGCUGACCCUCCAACAGCGCGGUGCUCCCUCAGCACUGACCCUCCGACAGCACGGCGCUCCCUCAGCACUG